rnacentral:rRNA from 1 species
CCUACGGGUGACAGCAGUGAGGAAUAUUGGUCAAUGGGCUUACGCCUGAACCAGCCAAGUCGCGUGAGGGAAGACUGCCCUAUGGGUUGUAAACCUCUUUUGUCAGGGAGCAACGCCGGCUACGUGUAGCCGGACUGAGAGUACCUGAAGAAAAAGCAUCGGCUAACUCCGUGCCAGCAGCCGCGGUAAUACGGAGGAUGCGAGCGUUAUCCGGAUUGAUUGGGUUUAAAGGGUGCGUAGGCGGAAUGCCAAGUCAGCGGUAAAAUCGCGGGGCUCAACCUCGCUCCGCCGUUGAAACUGGCGUUCUUGAGUGGGCGAGAAGUAUGCGGAAUGCGUGGUGUAGCGGUGAAAUGCAUAGAUAUCACGCAGAACUCCGAUUGCGAAGGCAGCAUACCGGCGCCCAACUGACGCUGAAGCACGAAAGCGUGGGUAUCGAACAGGAUUAGAUACCCUUGUAGUC